rnacentral:rRNA from 1 species
GACGAACGCUGGCGGCGUGCUUAACACAUGCAAGUCGAACGGAAAGGCCCUGCUUUUGUGGGGUGCUCGAGUGGCGAACGGGUGAGUAACACGUGAGUAACCUGCCCUGGACUGUGGGAUAACUUCAGGAAACUGGGGCUAAUACCGGAUAGGAGCUCCUGCUGCAUGGUGGGGGUUGGAAAGUUUCGGCGGUUGGGGAUGGACUCGCGGCUUAUCAGCUUGUUGGUGGGGUAGUGGCUUACCAAGGCUUUGACGGGUAGCCGGCCUGAGAGGGUGACCGGCCACAUUGGGACUAAGAUACGGCCCAGACUCCUACGGGAGGCAGCAGUGGGGAGUAUUGCCCAAUGGGCGGAAGCCUGAUGAAGAAACGCCGCGUGCGGGAUGAAGGCCUUCGGGUUGUAAACCGCUUUCGCCUGUGACGAAGCGUGAGUGACGGUAAUAGGUAAAGAAGCACCGGCUAACUACGUG